rnacentral:rRNA from 1 species
AUGGCGACGCGGUACUGGAUCGCCGCCCUGCCCGUCGCCGACGACAACGUCGCCGCCGGCAAGACCGCCCUCUGGGCGCGCCUCCAGGACGCCAUCUCCCGCCACUCCUUCGACACCCCGCUCUACCGCUUCACCGUCCCGGAUCUCCGCCCCGGCACGCUCGACUCCCUGCUCGCCCUCAGCGACGACCUCGUCAAGUCCAACAUCUUCAUCGAGGGCGUCUCCCACAAGAUCCGCCGGCAGAUCGAGGACCUGGAGCGCGCCGGAGGGGUCGAGCCCGGCACCCUCACCGUCGACGGCGUCCCCGUCGACAGCUACCUCACCAGGUUCGUGUGGGACGAGGGCAAGUACCCCGUCAACGCCCCGCUCAAGGAGACCGUCGCCAGCAUCCAGUCCCAGGUCGCCAAGAUCGAGGACGACAUGAAGGUUAGAGUUGCUGAAUACGGUAAUGUUAAGAGCCAGCUUGGCGCAAUCAACAGGAAGCAAACUGGAAGUUUAGCAGUUCGUGACCUUUCCAACCUCAUAAAACCAGAGGAUAUGGUCACCUCGGAACAUCUAGUGACACUGCUUUCUAUUGUGCCAAAGUAUUCCCAAAAAGACUGGUUAUCAAGCUACGAGUCACUUGAUACGUUUGUGGUUCCGAGAUCGUCAAAAAAGCUUUACGAGGACAAUGAGUAUGCUCUCUACACUGUAACAUUAUUUGCCAAGGUUGUUGACAACUUUAAGGUCCAUGCUCGUGAGAAAGGUUUCCAGAUCCGUGACUUUGAGUAUAGUCCUGAAGCACAGGAGAGUCGGAAGCAAGAGCUAGAAAAGCUGCUGCAAGACCAGGAAGUUAUGAGGACCUCUCUAUUGCAAUGGUGCUAUGCAAGCUACAGUGAGGUAUUUAGCUCCUGGAUGCAUUUCUCUGCUGUUCGCGUCUUCGUAGAGAGUAUUCUGAGAUAUGGUCUGCCUGCACGGUUCCUGUCUGUUGUCCUAGCACCAUCUACAAAGAGCGAGAAGAAAGUAAGGAACAUCUUGGAAGGGCUAUGCGGCAACGCCAACAGCAGCUACUGGAGAUCCGAAGACGACGUGGGCAUGGCUGCUGGCCUGGGAGGCGAGGCAGAGUCCCACCCUUACGUCUCCUUCACCAUAAACUUUGUCUGA